rnacentral:rRNA from 1 species
UACGGAGGGUGCGAGCGUUGUCCGGAAUCACUGGGCGUAAAGGGCGCGUAGGCGGCCUGGUAAGUCGGAUGUCAAAUUCCGGGGCUCAACUCCGGGGCGCCAUCCGAGACUGUCAGGCUCGAGCACGGCAGGGGCGAGUGGAAUUCCCGGUGUAGCGGUGGAAUGCGUAGAUAUCGGGAAGAACACCCGUGGCGAAGGCGGCUCGCUGGGCCG